CCUGCGGGUGGCUGCAGUGGGGAAUAUUGGACAAUGGGGGCAACCCUGAUCCAGCCAUGCCGCGUGUGUGAAGAAGGCCCUCGGGUUGUAAAGCACUUUCAGUGAGGAAGAACGCCUGGUGGUUAAUACCCAUCAGGAAAGACAUCACUCACAGAAGAAGCACCGGCUAACUCCGUGCCAGCAGCCGCGGUAAUACGGAGGGUGCGAGCGUUAAUCGGAAUUACUGGGCGUAAAGCGCGCGUAGGUGGCUUGAUAAGCCGGUUGUGAAAGCCCCGGGCUCAACCUGGGAACGGCAUCCGGAACUGUCAAGCUAGAGUGCAGGAGAGGAAGGUAGAAUUCCCGGUGUAGCGGUGAAAUGCGUAGAGAUCGGGAGGAAUACCAGUGGCGAAGGCGGCCUUCUGGACUGACACUGACACUGAGGUGCGAAAGCGUGGGUAGCAAACAGGAUUAGAUACCCCGGUAGUC
rnacentral:rRNA from 1 species